GAUGAACGCUCGCGAUAGGCUUAACACAUGCAAGUCGAGGGGCAGCACAAGGUAGCUUGCUAUCUGGGUGGCGACCGGCGCACGGGUGCGUAACGCGUAUGCAACUUGCCCUAUACAGGAGGAUAACCCGUCGAAAGACGGACUAAUACUGCGUAUGCUCACAACUUGGCAUCAAGUGGUGAGGAAGGAAAUUCGGUAUAGGAUAGGCAUGCGUCCCAUUAGCUUGUUGGUGAGGUAACGGCUCACCAAGGCAACGAUGGGUAGGGGAACUGAGAGGUUUAUCCCCCACACUGGUACUGAGACACGGACCAGACUCCUACGGGAGGCAGCAGUGAGGAAUAUUGGUCAAUGGGCGCGAGCCUGAACCAGCCAAGUCGCGUGAAGGAUGACUGUCUUAUGGAUGGUAAACUUCUUUUAGACGGGAAUAACAAGAGUCACGUGUGACUCCCUGCAUGUACCGGAUGAAUAAGCAUCGGCUAACUCCGUG
rnacentral:rRNA from 1 species